AGAUUGGACGCUGGCGGCAUGCCUAACACAUGCAAGUCGAACGGGAGUAGCAAUACUCUAGUGGCGGACGGGUGAGGAAUACGUAGGAAUUUGCCCUUAAGUGGGGGAUAACCCGGGGAAACCCGGAUUAAUACCGCAUGACCUCGAAAGAGCAAAGUGGGGGAUCGCAAGACCUCACGCUUUUGGAGAAGCCUACGUCGGAUUAGCUAGUUGGUGAGGUAAUGGCUCACCAAGGCGACGAUCCGUAACUGGUCUGAGAGGAUGAUCAGUCACACCGGAACUGAGACACGGUCCGGACUCCUACGGGAGGCAGCAGUGGGGAAUAUUGGACAAUGGGCGCAAGCCUGAUCCAGCAAUGCCGCGUGUGUGAAGAAGGCCUUCGGGUUAGUAAAGCUAACUUUAAGGUUAGGAAAGUAAAAACUCGACUACUAACACGAGUGAGUCGUUACGACGGUACCGACGAGAAGUAAGACACCGGACUAAC
rnacentral:rRNA from 1 species